rnacentral:rRNA from 1 species
UAACCUGCCCUGUACAGGGGGAUAACAGUCAGAAAUGACUGCUAGUACCGCAUAAGUUCCAAGAGCCGCAUGGCCCAUGGAAGAAAAGGCGGCCUCUACCUGUAAGCUAUCGCCUGAAGAGGGGUUUGCGUCUGAUUAGCUGGUUGGUGAGGUAACGGCUCACCAAGGCGACGAUCAGUAGCCGGUCUGAGAGGAUGAACGGCCACACUGGAACUGAGACACGGUCCAGACUCCUACGGGAGGCAGCAUG